GCGGCGGCGGCGGCAGCGGCGGCGGCUCCGGGGCCGCCAGGCGGGGGAAGGCGGGAGGGCGCAUGCGCGGUGCGGGCCAAAGGCUGCACAAUGCCGCUCUCUCCCGGGAGCGCUACGGAGGGGCCCGAGGGCCAAAAAGGGGCGGGGAGCGCCUUAAAGGGACAGGCGCCGCCUUCCCUAAGGGGGGGGGAGGAAUUCAGCGCUCACCCCCACAGUGAGGGUGGGGUGGGAGCGCUGCGUGAGGCUCCCUGGUUGUGAAAAUCGCCUGAUUUUAGCCCGUUAAGGCUCGGUAGCGCACUCAGGCACGCAUCAGUGGGUUUGUUUUGUGCCGCUGGGGCUGCGCAGCCCGGUUUUGGCCCCAAAAAAAUAAAGAGAGGGAAAAGGAAGAGCCACGCGUCGCUGACCAGCCCAAAAAGGUCCUCGGGCUCCAAAAAUCCGAGUGGCAGCUGGGAAAGGAAAAAAUAAAAAGGAAAAAAAAAUAAAGCUGUGGUGCAGCACAGCCAAGGCCCAGCUCCUUCCUUCCCCCAGCCUGGAAACCCACAGCCACAGGCUGGGCAUCGAUCCCUGCCCUGCAGGAAAAAGGGAGGGAAAAAUCAAAAAAAUCGUGUUACAAACACAAAUCAUAACCCUAAACAACCCCUUCGCCUCUGAGGGUCCUGGAUUUUUCUUUUCACACAUUCAAAGCUUCAUAAACCUGAUUUGGCCAAGUACUCGGUCGCACCUUAGAUUGUGUUUUUUUGACAGAAAAAGGCAGCCCCACGUGCAUAUUUCUUCGGGACUGCAAAAUGUGCGCACCAGGGGAUUUGCAUGGACAGCCCAUGAAAUUUAGCUUGUUGGUUGUGAAUCAUCCGCCAGGGUCCUUCUCGCUCCGCAGGCCUCGCUGCCACAGCUGGGAUCAGCAGGAUGUGAUCUCUGUCCAAAUUCCCUCUCUGUAAAAGACUGGGCCUUGGCAGGCUUCUCUCUCACAAAGUCUUUCAUUCCAUUUGGUUCCCAAUAGCCUGAACUUGGUGACCUGCCAAGUACACUGGAAAAGACACCUGUCUGUGUUUUGUUUUUUUUUUGCUCUUGUAUUUUAUUUUAUUUUUUUUCAGGGGGGAGAAGCUUCCCAUCAUGAUGAAAAAGCAGAAAUUUCCACAAGUGGCUCAGAUGGUUCCACCGAGACGAGAACUGAUCCAAUCCUGCAGAUUUCAUCCAAAGGACAUUAAUGCUUGUGGAAAAGCUCUCACUAACUUCAGCACAUGCUGGAUCUGCUCUUUAGACGUGACGGCUGCAACCAAGCACAUGCUGACGUUUGCAAUGAUCCCAGAUACAUCGUAUUCAUAUGUUUCUUCUGGGAUUUAAAAACAAACACUGAACCUUUUCCAGGCUGAUAUUUCUACCUCCCCCACUACAGUAUGAACCUUACUUGCAUUACUGCCAACAUUUGUUCAUUUAAAACUAGGAAAACUUACCCCAGUGGAAAGCAGCAAGGAUUUGAUUCAUUCUGCCCUGGGAGGGAUGUGUAUACUUAGCCUGGGCACAAGGGCCCAAUGGAUGUUGAAGAACUCAAAGUAAGAGUGUUUUAUCGAACACUGCGUGUAUAGAAGUCCAUGUCAGGGAAGCCCUGCAAAGAAGCAGUCCAUGUUUUUGCAGGAGAAACAUGGACUUCAUUCAGGAUUAGCAUCCUGCAGUAUCGUUCAAUGCAGAUUCCCCCCCAGUGCAAAUCACAGCCAAGUUGAUGCACAAGGGCUGCUGAUUUGAGGGCCCCGGACUGAAUCACACACGGUCUGAUUGCCAGGCGUGAUGACAGCCUCUCUCUCCUGGCCUCUUCAACUGGAGCAGCAGGUUCUCAGCACUUCUGUGAAUCAGAACUUUGUUCUUGACUGGUGCAAAUGGUUGCAACUCCAGUGACUGGAUGGCUCAAUACACCUAGCUCAUUAUUCCCUGGGAUAAUUUCAGUAAAAUGUAUGUAUCUUUGUCAUUGAGAUGUUUGAAAGUGUUACUGUUGUCUUAGAGCUUCUCUUUACUGUUUUUCCAGUCUGUAUGAGGGCAGAAUGAAAAGUAAGAAAAUACACAGAAAUACGUUAGGGCUUUAGUCAACUGAAAUCUAGCGUGUUCUGGGAUCUGUUAGUUUAAACUGCCAACUCAGUAGCACACACCAUUCACAGGCUUGCUUUCCUGUGCAAACCACUGUGUUAACAGCAGGUGCUAGGUCUCUACAUCACCCUGAUGUGUAACAAAACCAUUUAGAUGCAGCUAAUUUCCAAAUAAACAUAUUUACUGUGGCCGAAGCUACAUAGCCAUAUUAGCUGAACAUUUUCUCUUAACUUCUCAGAUUCUUUUGGUCACAUCCCUUUUUUUUCUUUUCCUUCCACAACAGUUUAUACCGUUGCUCUGCUUCCUUCCAUAAAAAUAAAAGUGUCUUGGCUCACUGUGUCCCAGCAUCCAGCUCCUGCAAGUAGAGCUUCUUGCUACAUCCUGAUAAAAGAUACAGAGAUCAGAGCAUUUUGCAGGCUUUUCAUGCCUUUCCUCUCCUCUGCGGAGGAAGCUGUUCAUCUUUGUUUCUUUGUUCUGAGAACUGCCAGUCUAGAAGGACACUAUUAAAAUCCACUUCAGACUCUCUAUUGGAUAUUGGCUGUCUCCAGAACAGCAUUUAGAGCAUAAUCAAAGCUUAUAUUUGCAG